rnacentral:rRNA from 1 species
GACGAACGCUGGCGGCGUGCUUAACACAUGCAAGUCGAACGGAAAGGCCCUGCUUUUGUGGGGUGCUCGAGUGGCGAACGGGUGAGUAACACGUGAGUAACCUGCCCUUGACUUUGGGAUAACUUCAGGAAACUGGGGCUAAUACCGGAUAGGAGCUCCUGCUGCAUGGUGGGGGUUGGAAAGUUUCGGCGGUUGGGGAUGGACUCGCGGCUUAUCAGCUUGUUGGUGGGGUAGUGGCUUACCAAGGCUUUGACGGGCAGCCGGCCUGAGAGGGUGACCGGCCACAUUGGGACUGAGAUACGGCCCAGACUCCCACGGGAGGCAGCAGUGGGGAAUAUUGCACAAUGGGCGGAAGCCUGAUGCAGCAACGCCGCGUGCGGGAUGACGGCCUUCGGGUUGUAAACCGCUUUCGCCUGUGACGAAGCGUGAGUGACGGUAAUGGGUAAAGAAGCACCGGCUAACUACGUG